rnacentral:rRNA from 1 species
GUGGGGAAUAUUGGACAAUGGGGGGAACCCUGAUCCAGCCAUGCCGCGUGUGUGAAGAAGGCCUUUUGGUUGUAAAGCACUUUAAGCGAGGAGGAGGCUACCGAGAUUAAUACUCUUGGAUAGUGGACGUUACUCGCAGAAUAAGCACCGGCUAACUCUGUGCCAGCAGCCGCGGUAAUACAGAGGGUGCAAGCGUUAAUCGGAUUUACUGGGCGUAAAGCGCGCGUAGGUGGCCAAUUAAGUCAAAUGUGAAAUCCCCGGGCUUAACUUGGGAAUUGCAUUCGAUACUGGUUGGCUAGAGUAUGGGAGAGGAUGGUAGAAUUCCAGGUGUAGCGGUGAAAUGCGUAGAGAUCUGGAGGAAUACCGAUGGCGAAGGCAGCCAUCUGGCCUAAUACUGACACUGAGGUGCGAAAGCAUGGGGAGCAAACAGGAUUAGAAACCCGGGUAGUCC